GCUGUGCCCCCCUUCCCAGCUUCACAGCCCCCGGGGACCCUGCUGCCCCCGCGUCAGCCGCCCACCCCCAGCCGCACGGGACCCUGUCCUCACCCAGCAACGCGCGCCCUUCGGAGUCUGGAGUCAGGCUCGGGCCUGCGAGCCGGCUUCGCCCCUCCGCUCUCCCCCGCCCCCGCGCCCCCUGACGCCUCCCCCUGGCUCUCCCCCCCACCCCCAGCUCCCCCCCCCCGGCUCUCCCCCGCCCCCUGACGCCCCCCGCCAGCUCUCCCCCCCUCCCCCGCUGCCCCCUAACGCCCCCCAGCUCUCCCCCCAACCCCGCUGCCCCCUAACGCCCCCCAGCUCUCCCCCCCACCCCGCCCCCUAACGCCCCCCAACGCCCCCCAGCUCUCCCCCCGCACCCCGCCCCCUAACGCCCCCCAGCUCUCCCCCCCGUCCCCCGCUGCCCCCUAACGCCCCCCAGCUCUCCCCCCCCACCCCGCCCCCUAACGCCCGGCCCUGCCAGUCCCCUUGGGUCCUCGGCCCCCAGGGGCCGCGCUUCCCGCCCGGUUCGCUGGACUCCAGGUCAGCCGGCAAGCCCACUUCUCCAGGGCCUCCUGGGCCCCCGGUGCUCAGCCUGGCCCUCCAGUCCCCCUGGGCCAGCGGAGGUGCCCCGUGGGAGAGAAUAAGAGACCCGGGAGGAAAACCGGCUGUGGCAUCUCGUCAGCACGACUGCAGGAAGCAUGGCACCCUUAACCUUUAACCCGCAUCCCUGCCCUGGUGCAUCCUCACUGGCUCCUGCCAGAGGGUAAAGCUGUCCGGCUAGAGGCCUCCGCCUCCCUGUGUGGGCUCCAGCCUGCUUCCCACCAUGUCCACCUUGGCCCUGCUCCACCCUGUCUGUCUCUGACUCUGUCUCUGUCUCCUCCCUUGGCUAAGGGCCUUGCCAAGAGUAGCCUGGUGAGGCCAGGGCCAGAGUCCAGUUGUGUCCCCCCAAAAGAUGGACCCAAGUUCUGACGCCUCUUAUACGUGAAAAUGUGACUUGAGAGACAAAAUCAAAUUAAAACGAGGUCAGGUAGACGCUAUUCCAGUAUGACUGGUGUCUUUACAAGAAGGGGAAAUCUGGACACAAGGAAGAUGACGUGAAGACCCAGAGAAAGAAAUGGCCGUGGGAGCGGAGCGGUGUGUGUGCAGGCACGGCGCCUCCAGGAGUGUGGCCACCGCAGACACUGGGCAAGCAAAGGAGGCUCCCGGUCUCUAGCUGGC
rnacentral:lncRNA from 1 species